rnacentral:rRNA from 1 species
UAAUACGGAGGGUGCAAGCGUUAUCCGGAAUCACUGGGUUUAAAGGGUGCGUAGGCGGUUUUUUAAGUCAGUUGUGAAAUUCCCUCGCUUAACGAGUGGGACUGCGAUUGAUACUGAAGAACUUGAAUCAGGUUGAGGUAGGCGGAAUGAGACAUGUAGCGGUGAAAUGCAUAGAUAUGUCUUAGAACACCGAUUGCGAAGGCAGCUUGCUGGACCUGUAUUGACGCUGAGGCACGAAAGCGUGGGGAGCAAACAGG